rnacentral:rRNA from 2 species
GGAGAGUUUGAUCAUGGCUCAGGAUGAACGUUGGCGGCGUGCUUAACACAUGCAAGUCGAACGUGAAGCCUUAAUUGAUUACUUCGGUUUGAUUUUGAGGUGGAAAGUGGCGAACGGGUGAGUAACACGUGGAUAACCUACCCCGGAGUGGGGGAUAACCAUUGGAAACGAUGGCUAAUACUGCAUGGUCCUAUUAAUAUGGGAGUAUUAAUAGGUAAAACUCCGGUGCUCUGGGAGGGGUCCGCGUCCGAUUAGCUAGUUGGGGGGGUGACGGCCCACCAAGGCAAUGAUCGGUAGCUGGUCUGAGAGGACGAUCAGCCACAUGGGAACUGAGACACGGUCCCAACUCCUACGGGGGGCAGCAGUGAGGAAUAUUGCACAAUGGGGGAAACCCUGAUGCAGCAACGCCGCGUGGAGGAUGACGGCCUUAUAGGUUGUAAACUCCUUUUCUGAGGGAAGAGAAAGGACGGUACCUCAGGAAUAAGUCACGGCUAACUACGUGCCAGCAGCCGCGGUAAUACGUAGGUGACGAACGUUAUCCGGAAUUACUGGGCGUAAAGGGCACGCAGGCGGUUGGUCAAGUCCGACGUGAAAUUUCUCGGCUUAACUGGGAGGCGUCGUUUGGAAACUAACUAACUUGAGGCAAUGAGAGGGGUGUAGAAUUCAUGGUGUAGUGGUGGAAUGCGUAGAUAUCAUGAGGAAUACCAGUGGCGAAAGCGGCACCCUGGCAUUGGCCUGACGCUCAUGUGCGAAAGCGUGGGUAGCGAACAGGAUUAGAUACCCUGG